rnacentral:sRNA from 1 species
AUGUCCGUGUGAGGGUUCAAGCCCAGGCUGAAGUUGUUGGCCUCUAUCUUCCACAAGAACCAGGAGCCGCCGCCGCAGCUCACGCUCCACUGCAACAUCACGCCAAUCGUGUUUAAGGAGAAACUAACAAUGAAAACGGACUCGUUGAUGGAGGAAAAGUUGGAAUGCUGCCUCUGGUGCUGUUUGAGCGAUCCCUCUAUCCCGGGUCGCUGCUGUGUUCUGGAAAGGCGCAUUGUACCCUGGAUGCAGCAGGAAUCCUAUUCAUCUUCUUCACCGAUAUGGUCUGUGGACUCUGAUGAGCCAAAUCUGACAUCAGUUCUGGAACGUCUAGAAGAUACUAAGGACAA